rnacentral:rRNA from 1 species
GAUGAACGCUGGCGGCGUGCCUAAUACAUGCAAGUCGAGCGAACAGAUAAGGAGCUUGCUCCUUUGACGUUAGCGGCGGACGGGUGAGUAACACGUGGGUAACCUACCUAUAAGACUGGAAUAACUCCGGGAAACCGGGGCUCAUACCGGAUAACAUUUAGAACCGCAUGGUUCUAAAGUGCAAGAUGGUUUUGCUAUCACUUAUAGAUGGACCCGCGCCGGAUUAGCUAGUUGGUAAGGUAACGGCUUACCAAGGCAACGAUACGUAGCCGACCUGAGAGGACGAUCAGCCACACUGGAACUGAGACACGGUCCAGACUCCUACGGGAGGCAGCAGUAGGGAAUUUUGCGCAAUGGGCGAAAGCCUGACGGAGCAACGCCGCGUGAGUGAUGAAGGUCUUCGGAUCGUAAAACGCUUUUAUUAGGGAAGAACAACUGUGUAAGUAACCGUGGAGGUCUUGACGGUACCUAAUCAGAAAGCCACGGCUAACUACGUG